rnacentral:rRNA from 1 species
UACGUAGGGGGGCAAGCGUUGUCCGGAAUCAUUGGGCGUAAAGAGCGCGUAGGCGGCCCGAUAAGUCCGCUGUGAAAGUCAAGGGCUCAACCCUUGAAUGCCGGUGGAUACUGUCGGGCUAGAGUCCGGAAGAGGCGAGUGGAAUUCCUGGUGUAGCGGUGAAAUGCGCAGAUAUCAGGAGGAACACCGAUGGCGAAGGCAGCUCGCUGGGACGGUACUGACGCUGAGACGCGAAAGCGUGGGGAGCGAACAGG